rnacentral:rRNA from 1 species
UACGUAGGGUGCGAGCGUUUGUCCGGAAUUAUUGGGCGUAAAGGGCUCGUAGGCGGUUUGUCGCGUCGGGAGUGAAAACCUUGGGCUUAACUCAGGGCUUGCUUUCGAUACGGGCAGACUAGAGGUAUGCAGGGGAGAACGGAAUUCCUGGUGUAGCGGUGAAAUGCGCAGAUAUCAGGAGGAACACCGGUGGCGAAGGCGGAUCUCUGGGCCUACUGACGCUGAGGACGAAAGCGUAGGGGAGCAAACAGGAUUAGAACCUACCCGUAGUCAGUCCA